AUUUAUAAAUAUUCCUACUGAUUAGCCCAAGGAUUUUUACAACUGGCUUUCAGUUUUCUGGUAAGUGACAAGGAUAAUAUGAAUGGUUUUAGCAGAUAACCAGUUUCGUCAGUAAUUUAUUUUGUGAAGUCAGCAGUCCCAACGUGAUGCACAUCAGAAUCUCCGGGAGAACUUUAAAAAAGGUGUCAGUGUACAUGGAAUCCUUAGAGACUCUGAUGUCGUGAGUCUGGGAGAGAAUUUGGGUAGCCGCCCCAGGUCAUUCUGAGGAGCAGCCACAGUUGAGAACCCUUGUACUGAAGCAAGAACUAGGUGAAAUCGGGGUGGGGCUGCAAGAGGAGAAAGGCGAGUAGGAAUGAACUUUAGCCAUUUCCUUCUCCUCACAGUGAAAUGACACGAGAGAAGAAAUUCAGAGAUCACUUUGAAUCCCAGAGAUUAGAAAAUGAAGUGUUCUUUUUUCUUUUUGUCAUUGUAGACAUGGAAGGACUUCAGUGAAAUUUUAAAUGGUUUAACAAAGCAUGCGCUAAUGGAUGACAGCAAUCCUCCUACAUAUAGUCUGCAGAUAGAAUCACAAGAUGGGUGUCAUCCUGGUGACAGCGCAGAAAGGAGAGUAACACACUUGCCUUCUGCUGCAUCAGAUGAAAAUGAAAAUCAACUUGAUGGAGAUGGGCCUGCUCUUCUGACCAGCAGUGGUAGUGCAAUGGGGAAAACUGAAGUGUUAGAGCAAGAUAGUCUCAACAAUAAUGAAAGCUGUGUGUCCAGCCGUGAAGUGGCCGCCAGUGAGAUCUCAGAAAGUGCUCUGUGUGAAGGCCCCAAAGAUGGAAAGGACUUCUUGGGAAAAGACAAAAAAAUACCUGGAAAAAGAGGUACAAGAACCAAAAAAGGCACUAUUAAGAAGACACCAGCAGAUUAUGCAUCUUUAAUACAAGAAAAGAUACUAAGUACAGCCACACAUGCUGUUGGUGAUGAAGAGACUGCCAAAGUCAAUGCUAAUGAUCAACCAGAAGCCCCAAAGCUAGCUCUGCAGUCUCUGUUCUCACUCAUACGAGGUGAAGUUGAGCAGUUGGAUUCAAGAGCACUUCCCCUUUGCCUUCACCAGGUACUACAUUAAACCCUCCACUUUCAGCCUCACUGAAACUCUGGUACCAGUAUUUGGAAUCCUCUAAAAUCCAAAUCGUCUGAAGUCAUCUGAAAUUCAUAAAGAAUCCCGAAACUGUUUCUAUCCCAUCCAUUGUUGGUGAGUUCAGGAGAUGACUACCCUGGACCAGUGGCUGUGGAAAAUUUGACAUAGUACUAAACUGAUGGCCAUACCUUGGCCUUAGAGAAUCAAUAAGUUUGGAUAAUAAAUAGCGCAUUCCUUUUCUUCGGUGUACAGAUAGGAGACUGAGUAGCAAGAGCUUAGUAAGCACUAACUGUGUGCCAAAAACAAUGCUAGACACUGGGGAAACAAGAUGAUGAACAGGGUGUGUCCUUAAGAGAGCCACUGUGGAGUAGGAGAAACCACGAUAUAAAUCCAUGAGUGUUGAAUUCUGUAGGAAGAGUCAGGAGACAUCUGUUUAGGGUUCAGUGGCAUGAAAUGGAAGGUGAACUUUGUCCUGUAAGCUUGAGGGAAGAGAAGAUGGCUCUUGGGUUGUACAGGAUGACUAGAUGCUCACCAUACAGCACAGGGAGCUAGUACCUGAAUAGAUGUCUGGAACAGACAUUGUUGGAGAUUAAGAAGCAAAGAGACAAGAGUCAAGAUUCCAUAGCUCGUGACCUGAAGGCCUUGGGCUGAGGACCUGGGAAUUUUAAUGAUGAGAAUUUUUCUGAAUAAAAACUUAGUAUCACUGAGCUAUACCCCCAGCUCCUCAGAUCCCAAUCUGAAUUUUAGAAACAAUUUUUCCAGCUGGGUGUGGUAGCACAUACCUUUAAUGCUAGUAUUCUGGGAGACUGAGGCAGGAGGGUUGCGGGUUACUUAGUGAUUUAGUGAGACUUUAUCUCAAAAUUUAAAAAAAAAAAUCAUAAAAGUGUAGGAGAUGUAGCUCAGUGCCCAGGACCUUAAAAAAAAAAGUCUAACUCUUCAGUGAUGGGAAGACAAGGGGAAGAUGGUGAGCCUGGCGCCUGGAGAGUGGGAGGCCUUCAGCACAGUAAAAUAAGAAGCCUUAUCCUAAGAGCUAAUUCAGGAACAGUUAAAGCUGCAUUUGUAAGACGCGUUUUAUUUCCACUUAAAAUGAAAAUAAUUUGUACUUGAGAAUAAAGAUCAACUUUUUUAUUUCACCCAGUUCUGUUUCAUUUUGAUUUUUGCAACAAACAGUGAGUAAUUUUUAAUUUUUAAAAAGCAAAAUAGCAUGUGAUCCAAAGCAGGAAAAUGUAUAAUUUUACAAACUUACAUUACCUCCUUGGUGGGCCCGAGGAAUGCCAUUGAGAGAACGUACAGUGCUGUUGGUUACUGAACUGCCAUAGUUUAGGCGCAGCAGUACCUGGGCAGCCUGCUUAACACUUUUGUCUGCAAACAGAAUUGUUUACAAACAGAAGUGUUUGUGAACUGAGGUAUUACUAUAAUCUGCAGGCCUGAUCAAGAUCAUUAUCAACUCCCUGCCUAAAAAUGUGAUUUUUUUUUAAGACUAGCUCUGUUUCUGCCAGUAAAAAGAACAUUCUUACCUCUUAUUUAACAAUAGCUUAGUGAUAUAAGCUACUUAAAAAGAUUUGUCUGUACUUGCUAUUUCUCUCCUUUCUUUUAAACGUCCUUUCCCAAUUCUUCAUUGAAUUUCUACAGAAGAGCUUAAGAAAUAGGAAAAUCCUCCAUAAACCCUUCACCUAGAUUUGGUAAUUACUGCAUUUUGCCAAAUUUGCUUUCUUUCUUUGUCGCUUACUCUUUUACAUAUUUUUCUCACAAUUAAGCAGUAGGUAUUGUAUCAAUUAAUCUUCAAAUAUUUGUACAAGUCUCACUCAAGAAUUGAGAUAGCUGGGUGUGGUGGUGCAUGCCUAUAAUCCCAGCACUGGGGAGGUUGAGGCAGGAGGAUUGCAGAGAGUUUGAAGCCUUCCUGGGCUACAUAGUGAGUUCAAGGCCAGCCUGAACUGCAUCGUAAAACCCUGUCUCAACAAACAAACAAACAAAAAGAAAGAAAUCGACUGGGGAUCAGCAAGG
rnacentral:lncRNA from 1 species